AGGAGAUACCAUGAUCGCUAGGUUGGUUUUCCCAGGGCGAGACUUAUCCAUUGCACUCCAGAUUCGAUGACCCCUGGAUUUUCCCUGGUAGCAGUAGUUC
rnacentral:snRNA from 1 species